UACGUAGGGGGCAAGCGUUGUCCGGAUUUACUGGGCGUAAAGAGCGUGUAGGCGGCCACGCAGGUCCGUUGUGAAAACUGGAGGCUCAACCUCCAGCUGUCGACGGAAACCGUAUGGCUAGAGUCCGGAAGAGGAGAGUGGAAUUCCUGGUGUAGCGGUGAAAUGCGCAGAUAUCAGGAGGAACACCGGCGGCGAAGGCGGCACUCUGGGCCGGUACUGACGCUGAGGAGCGAAAGCGUGGGUAGCAAACAGG
rnacentral:rRNA from 1 species